ACAGGCAGUCCCGGCGCGGGGCAACCACAGCGCUCAGGAGGCCCUGAGUCCGGCACCUGGCCAUGUGCAACCCUGAGGAGGCAGCUCUGCUGCGGCUGGAGGAGGUCUUCUCAGCCACCCUCGCCCAUGUCAACAGCCUUGUCCUCCAGCCCCUGCUCCCAGCCGCCCCAGAUCCCUCGGAUCCCUGGGGCAGAGAGUGCCUGCGGCUCUUGCAACAGCUGCACAAGAGCUCCCAGCAACUCUGGGAGGUGACGGAGGAAAGCCUGCACUCACUGCAGGAGAGGCUGCGUUACCCGGACUCCACCGGUCUGGAGUCCCUGCUGCUGCUGCGAGGUGCUGACCGUGUACUGCAGGCCCACAUAGAGUACAUUGAGUCCUACACAAGCUGCAUGGUGGUGCAGGCCUUCCAGAAGGCAGCAAAGAGGAGAAGCGAGUACUGGCGGGGCCAGCGGAAGGCGCUGCGGCAGCUGCUUUCAGGUGUGAGCUCAGAGGGCUCGGUGGGCGCAUCGCUGGGCCAGGCCCUCCACCAGCCACUCGCCCAUCACGUGCAACAGUACGUGCUCCUCCUGCUGAGCCUCGGGGACACCAUUGGGGAGCAUCACCCAACCCGGGAGCUGGUGGUGAACGCAGUCACCCUCUUUGGGAACCUGCAGUCCUUCAUGAAGCAGGAGUUGGACCAGGCUGUGGCCACACAGGCUCUCUGGCACACCCUGAGAGGCCGGCUGAGGGAUGUGCUCUGCACCCCUGCUCACAGACUCCUUCAGGACAGCCAGGACGUACCCGUGACGGUCGCACCGUUGCGGGCUGAGCGUGUGCUGCUCUUUGAUGAUGCCCUCGUCCUGCUGCAGGGCCACAAUGUCCACACCUUUGAUCUGAAGCUGGUGUGGGUGGAUCCUGGGCAGGACGGGUGCACGUUUCACCUCCUCACGCCCGAAGAAGAGUUCUCCUUUUGUGCCAAGGACUCCCAGGGCCAGGCAGUCUGGCAGUGGAAGGUGACCUGGGCUGUUCACCAGGCCCUGCAUGGGAAGAAGGACUUCCCCGUGCUGGGGGCUGGCCUGGAGCCCUCCCAGCCUCCCGACUGCCGCUGCGCAGAAUAUACCUUCCAGGCAGAGGGCCGGCUCUGCCAGGCCACCUACGAGGGCGAGUGGUGCAGGGGCCGGCCCCACGGCAAGGGAACCCUGAAAUGGCCGGAUGGGCGGAAUCACGUGGGGAAUUUCUGCCAGGGCCUGGAGCAUGGCUUCGGCAUCCGCCUGCUGCCCCAGGCCUCUGAGGACAAGUUCGACUGUUACAAGUGUCACUGGCGAGAAGGCAGCAUGUGUGGCUACGGCAUCUGUACAGCACCGACGAGGUGUACAAGGGCUACUUCCAGGAGGGCCUGCGGCACGGAUUUGGGGUCCUUGAGAGUGGUCCGCAGGCCCCCCAGCCCUUCAGGUACACGGGCCACUGGGAGAGGGGCCAGAGGAGCGGCUAUGGCAUUGAGGAGGAUGGUGACAGAGGUGAGCGCUACAUUGGCAUGUGGCAGGCUGGUCAGCGCCACGGCCCAGGGGUCAUGGUCACCCAGGCAGGUGUCUGCUACCAGGGCACCUUCCAGGCGGACAAGACGGUGGGCCCGGGCAUCCUCCUCUCUGAAGACGACUCCCUGUAUGAGGGCACCUUCACCAGGGACCUGACCCUCAUGGGGAAGGGCAAGGUCACCUUCCCCAAUGGCUUCACCCUGGAGGGCUCGUUCGGCAGUGGGGCAGGGAGAGGACUGCACACACAGGGUGUGCUGGACACGGCUGCCCUCCCACCAGACCCGAGCAGUACCUGCAAGAGGCAGCUGGGCGUGGGUGCCUUCCCCGUGGAAAGCCGCUGGCAGGGAGUCUACAGCCCCUUCCGGGACUUUGUGUGUGCUGGCUGCCCCAGGGACCUGCAGGAGGCCCUGCUGGGCUUCGACGUGCAGAGCUCCAGGGAGCUGCGUAGGUCUCAGGAUUACCUGUCCUGCGAGAGGACCCACCCUGAGGACAGUGUGGGCAGUAUGGAAGACAUCCUGGAGGAGCUGCUGCAGCACCGGGAGCCCAAGGCCCUGCAGCUGUACCUCAGGAAGGCUCUGAGCAACUCACUGCACCCCCUGGGAAAGCUGCUCCGGACACUGAUGCUGACCUUCCAGGCUACCUACGCAGGUGUCGGGGCCAACAAGCACCUGCAGGAGCUGGCCCAGGAGGAGGUGAAGCAGCAUGCCCAGGAACUCUGGGCUGCCUACAGGGGUCUGCUGCGAGUUGCCUUAGAGCGCAAGGGCCAGGCCCUGGAGGAGGAUGAAGACACAGAGACAAGGUGACUGGCGCAGGUCUCCUUGGGGCCUGCCGUGUCCAGGGAGGCCUCAUGCGUCUGCUCCUAGGACCUCCCUUGGGGAAAGAGGUGCUUCUGGGGAAGUGCUGGGCAUUCACUCUAUUGACCAAACAUUGUGCAUUGAUCGUUUGUGGAUUAGAAUGACCCAUGACCUCUGUUCUGUGAGGAACCAGGGAGGGGGCACUGCUACAAUGCAUUGAAUGCAUCUUUGUUCUAAAUGUAUGAUCCCAAUCUCAUCUUUCGCAUGCAGAAGGUGAGUAGCUCCCCGAGGCACCCUCCUCUCCCUGCACACAGAUGGGGAAACCGAGGGCUGGUAGGGAUGAGCCUGAGGUUAUACAGGAGUUAGGUGGGCAUGAAAUUUGUUUCCCCCAGUCCCUGGAGCAAACCUUACAAUUUGCCUUUAGAUUCUAGACCUGAAAGUGUUCCUGAUCAGAGAGGCCUUCCUGUCACUGCCUUGCAGGAGGCAAGGGAAAUGGGGUUAGACAUUAGGGAGGAUUCCCCGCCCGGAGUCCUAGCACAGCAAACCAGGAGGUGGAACUGAAUCAGCCUGGAAUGGCUGCUGAGAGCUCAGCUGCAAGUUGCUGGUCCAUCUGGGGCCCUGGUUUUGCUUUCAGUCAAAUGGGGAUCCAACUCCUGCCCCACCUGCCAUCUUGGUUGUCAAAGUCAAAGGAGGGAAUGAAGUUAUGAAUUGAAUUGGGCAAAUGAUGACUGAGAACAGGCUUGGAAAAGGUUUUCUGGGGAGGAGGAGGCUGGAGGCCAGGACACUGUUUGUUGUGGAACUAGGAGCUCUUUGAGACGAGACUCCAAGUAGUAAUCCCAGACCCCACCUUGCUCAUCCCAACCUGUUCCGGUCUCCCCAUCAGGGACCUCCAGGUGCAUGGAUUGGUGCUGCCCCUCAUGCUGCCCAGCUUCUACUCAGAGCUCUUCACGCUCUACCUGCUGCUUCAUGAGCGGGAGGACAGCUUCUACAGCCAGGGCAUUGCCAACUUGAGCCUCUUUCCUGAUACCCAACUGCUCGAGUUCCUGGAUGUGCAGAAGCACUUGUGGCCCCUCAAGGACCUCACGCUGACGAGCAAUCAGAGGUACUCCCUGGUCAGGGACAAGUGUUUCCUGUCAGCCACCGAGUGCCUGCAGAAGAUCAUGACCACGGUGGACCCACGGGAGAAGCUGGAGGUGCUGGAGAGGACAUACGGGGAAAUUGAGGGCACGGUGUCGAGGGUAUUGGGCCGGGAGUACAAGCUGCCCAUGGACGACCUGCUGCCACUUCUCAUCUACGUGGUGUCGCGCGCCCGAAUUCAGCACCUGGGAGCCGAGAUCCACCUGAUCCGUGACAUGAUGGACCCCAACCACACAGGAGGCCUGUAUGACUUCCUGCUCACAGCCCUGGAGUCCUGUUACGAGCACAUCCAGAAAGAAGACAUGAGGCUGCACCGCUUACCUGGCCACUGGCACUCCAGGGAGCUCUGGUAGCCUGGCCUUUCCUGGACAGACUGAAGAGCUGAGCAGGGCACUGCCAGCCUGUCCCUCAUUACCCAAGGCAAGGGGCAGGACAGGCCCUCAGAAGCAGCUCUUGGAGGAGAUGAGCAUUUUGUUUUGCACAGGAAGAUGCUGCUGCUGCCCUGACUGGGAUGAGGGUGAGGGGUGACGGGUGUGGCCCUGGAUGUGGUGGUUUUCCCUUGGCCACUAGCCCAUCUUCAAUGACCCCUUAAUCUGCAGCAGCUCACAGGCUGGGGGUGAGGAGUCCCUGGCUUCUCUUAGCCUGAGCCUUUCUCCCAAGUUCCAGAGCCUCUCCGGGCCUCAGUGCUGCCAUCUGUACAAUGGUGGAGUGAGUACGCUGUAAAGGACCUUCCAUUCAUUUUGCUGAAUUCCAGAGUCCUUUUGGAAAACUGACUUUAGUCUGCUGGGCUGUAUUGACCUCUGGCAGGCUCGAAGCCUCACUGGGUAUGCAGUCAACAGGAUGGGCCUGGAGAUCCGUGAACUGCAGGCCACGUACCCAUGACGUAAACGGCGGCACUGGAGCAAGCUGGGGCGGGGGGUGGGUAAACCCUCACUGCCAGCAGGCCCCAAGUGGCUUGUAAAUCAUUCUCCUGUGAUGUCUGUGGGCCUGCGUGGGGACAACAGGGGCACAUGACAUCUGCCUGGGCCCUGACCAAUAAACCCUCAGACCCAGGACCCAGGACCCUGCUGUAGUUGGGGAGCAGGAGUACCUUUGGGAGGGGAGGACUUUAUUUAAACAGUGGUUCUAGUGUGGGACCAAGAGAGGCAGGAGCUGGGUCUUGGGGCAGCUUUAUUCCUGUUGGGCCUCAGUUUCUCUUCCCCACACAGUUUAUCUUCCGUCACAUUGUGCCGGGUGACGUGCACGGUCUCCCUCUGCCCUAGCCGGAGAUGCAUGAUGACAGGCAGUGUGAUGUGUUCUGAAAGUGUCCAGGGCAAAGCGUAGGGAGAGGGUGGAUUUGUGCAGGGUGCAGCUCUGGAGAAGAAGCUGGAUCACUCUUGGUCCCAUUCCCUAGGCCCUGAGCAAGUCAGGCUCCUGGCUCUGGGUGUGGCUCCCCCAAACGAAGUACUGACUUCAGCCUGUGAGGGGAGGGUUGAGGGAGGCUCUGGAAAGCCCAGCCACACCUGAGUCCCUGGCAGUAGCCUUGGGGCAGAGGGCACCCGCAGAGUCCCAGAGAUGAUGUGGGCAGUGGGCAGAGAGAGCCUUGGCGCCUCUGUUUGCCACCACUUCCCCAGGAAGGAGGGACAGCAUUUCUCUGGCUGGUUCCACUAAAUGUGCCAGCCCAAAUGCAGGGCAUGGGCUCUGGUUCUGCCAGGAGCCUGUGACACCCCCAGGAAGGGGGUGGAACUGAGGAAGAGCGAGGAUAUGCAGGCACUCAUGCUUACCGGGACUGGGGCAGCUCACUAGGAUUCUAUCCUUUCCAAUCGGCAUCAGCCAGCUCUUGUCCCCUGAUAAGUGAGGACAGCCUGACCCUGGCCUCAAAUGCAGCCAUCCCUGAGUUCAUGCGAUGCUGACGGGACCCCAGCACACUUCCCUGCCUCCUUUGAGAUCUGCGAGCCCUUGCUGCAGUUCAGAUUCAACAAGGCCCUCUGCCCACCCUCUCACUAGGCCUCACCCAACACCAGUGGAACUGGAGCCUCUGGCUGGGCACAGUGGCUCACUUUGGGAGGCUGAGGCAGGAAGGCUGCUGGAAACUGAGAGUUCAAGACCAGCCUGGGCAACAUAGUGAGACCCUGUCUCUACAAAUACAAAAUAAAAUAAUUAGCUGGGUGUGUUGGUGUGUGCCUGUGGUCCCAGCUACUCGGGAGGCUGAGGUGGGAAGAUCCCUGAGCCUGGAGGGUCGAGGUUGCAGUGAGCGGAGAUCGCACCUCUGCACUCAAUCCUGGGUGACAAAAUGAAACCCUGCCUCAAAAAUAAAAAUAAAAAUAAAAAUAAAAUAAAUAAAAAAGAGCAUCUGGACAGAG